rnacentral:rRNA from 1 species
GACGAACGCUGGCGGCGUGCUUAACACAUGCAAGUCGAACGAAAAGACGGAAAGAGCUUGCUCUUUCCGGAAUUGAGUGGCAAACGGGUGAGUAACACGUAAACAACCUGCCUUCAGGAUGGGGACAACAGACGGAAACGACUGCUAAUACCGAAUAAGUUCCAAGGGCCGCAUGGCCCAUGGAAGAAAAGGUGGCCUCUACCUGUAAGCUAUCGCCUGAAGAGGGGUUUGCGUCUGAUUAGCUGGUUGGAGGGGUAACGGCCCACCAAGGCGACGAUCAGUAGCCGGUCUGAGAGGAUGAACGGCCACACUGGAACUGAGACACGGUCCAGACUCCUACGGGAGGCAGCAGUGGGGAAUCUUCCGCAAUGGGCGAAAGCCUGACGGAGCAACGCCGCGUGAGUGAUGACGGCCUUCGGGUUGUAAAACUCUGUGAUCCGGGACGAAAAGGCAGAGUGCGAAGAACAAACUGCAUUGACGGUACCGGAAAAGC